UACGGAGGGCGCAAGCGUUGUUCGGAAUCACUGGGCGUAAAGCGCGUGUAGGCGGCUUGGCAAGUCGGGUGUGAAAUCCCGAGGCUCAACCUCGGAACUGCACUCGAAACUGCCUGGCUCGAGUCCCGGAGAGGGUGGCGGAAUUCCCGGUGUAGGGGUGAAAUCCGUAGAUAUCGGGAGGAACACCAGUGGCGAAGGCGGCCACCUGUACGGUGACUGACGCUGAGACGCGAAAGCGUGGGGAGCAAACAGG
rnacentral:rRNA from 1 species